rnacentral:rRNA from 1 species
AUGGCCGGAAUUGUCCACAAGGAGUUUGCUGAGUUGGCCCAGACGGGGAUGAACUACCUGUCAUGGGCUUCGGACUGUGAGAUUUUUCUCCAGGGCAAAACCCUCCUGAGAGCGAUCGGUAAGGGGGCCCAGCUGGCCGCCACUGAUCCCAAGUUCGAAACUGAGAAUGCGCAGGCUCUGCACUUUCUCCGUCAUCACCUGUCACCUACUCUGAAAGAUGAGUAUAUGGCUGAGCGCAGUGCUUCUGGCCUUUGGACCGCUCUUAAGCAGCGGUUUGAGCGGCUGAAGUACACUGUGAAGCCACGUGCAGAGGCAGAGUGGAUCCGUCUGAGGUUUGCAGACUUCAAGACGAAGAUUGAGAAAACCCUAUCCACUUUCCACCCUGAUGUGUGGUACUCAGAUUACCGCCAGGGCAACUACACGAGGUAUUCAGAGUUGAUUGACGUCCUCCAGGUGGCAGAGGCGCAGGACGAGGUUCUGAAAAAGAACUUUGCCGCGCAACCACUUGGGGGGAGUUCUCGCCAGGAGGUGAAUGCUCUCAAAGUCCGCAAGCCUCAACAGAAGAAGAGGGGCCGCAAGGCAGCAAAAGCCGGGCAAGGGGGGGGGGGGCAGAGGCCUCAGGACUGUUUCCGUUGUGGCUCGGUGGAGCAUUUCUCCCGCCAGUGCCGCGCACCACCGGAGGUCGUCGAAGCAUACAAGGCUCGGAAGGCGCGUGAGACGCACCUCGCCUUGGUUCAGGAGGCAGCACCACCGGCGCCCAUGGCGGCACCCGUGAUGAUCGCUACCCCCCUACUGCGCCCAUAG